rnacentral:rRNA from 1 species
AUUGAACGCUGGCGGCAUGCCUUACACAUGCAAGUCGAACGGCAGCACGGGGGCAACCCUGGUGGCGAGUGGCGAACGGGUGAGUAACGCAUCGGAAUGUACCUAGUAGUGGGGGGAUAACUAGUCGAAAGAUUAGCUAAUACCGCAUACGCACUGAGGUGGAAAGCGGGGGAUCGCAAGACCUCGCGCUAUUGGAGCAGCCGAUAUCCGAUUAGGUAGUUGGUGGGGUAAAGGCCUACCAAGCCUGCGAUCGGUAACUGGUCUGAGAGGACGACCAGUCACACUGGGACUGAGACACGGCCCAGACUCCUACGGGAGGCAGCAGUGGGGAAUUUUGGGACAAUGGGCGCAAGCCUGAUCCAGCAAUGCCGCGUGUGUGAAGAAGGCCUCGGUUGUAAG